rnacentral:rRNA from 1 species
AUUGAACGCUGGCGGCAGGCCUAACACAUGCAAGUCGAGCGGAUGACGGGAGCUUGCUCCUUGAUUCAGCGGCGGACGGGUGAGUAAUGCCUAGGAAUCUGCCUGGUAGUGGGGGACAACGUUUCGAAAGGAGCGCUAAUACCGCAUACGUCCUACGGGAGAAAGCAGGGGACCUUCGGGCCUUGCGCUAUCAGAUGAGCCUAGGUCGGAUUAGCUAGUUGGUGGGGUAAUGGCUCACCAAGGCGACGAUCCGUAACUGGUCUGAGAGGAUGAUCAGUCACACUGGAACUGAGACACGGUCCAGACUCCUACGGGAGGCAGCAGUGGGGAAUAUUGGACAAUGGGCGAAAGCCUGAUCCAGCCAUGCCGCGUGUGUGAAGAAGGUCUUCGGAUUGUAAAGCACUUUAAGUUGGGAGGAAGGGCAGUAAGUUAAUACUUUGCUGUUUUGACGUUACCGACAGAAUAAGCACCGGCUAACUCUGUGCCAGCCGCCGCCGUAACAC